CCUACGGGAGGCAGCAGUAGGGAAUUUUCGUCAAUGGGCGCAAGCCUGAACGAGCAAUGCCGCGUGAACGAGGAAGGUCUUCGGAUCGUAAAGUUCGGUUGAAGGGGAAAAAGAGCGGAGAGAGGAAAUGAACUCCGAUUGAUAUUACCCUUCGAGGAAGUUACGGCGAACUACGUGCCAGCAGCCGCGGUAAUACGUAGGUGGCGAGCGUGAUACGGAAUGAUUGGGCGUAAAGGGUGCGUAGGCGGCCUGCUAAGUCUGGAGUGAAAGGUACCGGCUCAACCGGUACAGGCUCUGGGAACUGGCGGGCUAGAGAGCAGGAGAGGGCGGUGGAACUCCAUGUGUAGCGGUAAAAUGCGUAGAUAUAUGGAAGAACCCCAGUGGCGAAGGCGGCCGCCUGGCCUGUUGACUGACGCUGAGGCACGAAAGCGUGGGGAGCAAAUAGGAUUAGAUACCCUUGUAGUC
rnacentral:rRNA from 1 species